UUGAACUCACCACCAUCUAACACUACAGAUUCUGGGUUUAUUGAGGGGAAGUGACGUUUAAGCAUCCCUGCCUUUCUGUUGAGGGAUGCCUGCCCUCCUCCCCUUUUCAGGAUUCAGUGCAGCUUCUUUCUGGGUUUCCAAAGCCCACAGCUCACGCCUCUACUUGCUGCAGGGAGCCCUGCCCGCCCCAUAGGAAGGUACACCAGCAGCCUGGAAACCAGACCAACAGCUCAGGGCCUUCCCACCUCCCAGACUAGCCUAGAAGCUGCUCGAAGGCAGGUCCUGGGUCUCAUCCGACAGUAUUUCCAGGAGCCAGCACUAGCUUAGAGGCUCAAGAGAGGACCGCUAUAGCCAAGGGUGGAACACGCAACUGCCACAGGGCCCUGACAGCGACCAUCGGAGGAUGGUGACUUCAGUUAACAGAGGUAUGGCAGCGAGAAAUCGCAAGAACCAAUUCCCUUGUCUUCUGCAACUGUCGGCCUUGCUUCUGCGGUGCAGCCAGAAAAUGGAGACCCCCAGCCACUGCUGUUCCCCAGCAAAAGGCAGGUUCUUGCUGCCCCCUGGCCAGGGCCCCUGAGCUACCUGAUACCACCCCUUUGAUUGGCAGGGCGCACGAGUUUUAUGGCAAGACUGGAAGUCGACUGUAAUUAAGACCUCUAUAAAAUAUUUAGACCACUGUGCCCAGAUAUAUUAAUGAUUAUACAUUUAAAUGUUAAUGAAUGUAAUUAGAUGAAAGAUUAGCCAAGCCUGUCACUAAAUAUACAUUCAGGACUGAUAAACUCUUGUACUGUAAAAUUAUAUGUGUAAGCAGAUGUACACUUAGACUUCUCAGAUAGACUUUGAUUCAUCUUAUUGAAAUAAAAGCUCAAAGUGUUGUCCAGAAUAGGGAGGGGGAAAGGGAGUUAGCAGGCUGGGGGAAAAGGCAGGGGGGUCUGAUGGGGAGGACCCUAAAGAUCCCACAGGGUCUUCGGGAAUGGUGAAGAUCAAAUGAGUUAGUACAUGUAAAAAUUUGCAUGCCUCCAUGGAUGGAGAACUCACUACUCCUAGGAGUAUCUAGUUUCAACUCUAAUGGCCACAUCCCAGAGGCAGGCAUAGGCGAAUGGUUUAGCAGGGUGACACUGGGGUCUCCCCUGAAACACUAGGUUUAUCUGUAAAAGCUGCUUUAAAAUAGAAAAUCACCCUGUAGGUCAAGAAGAAGAGGAGCAGGAUUUUACUGUAGCCUUAUUAAUAGAAAGCCCUAUAUUUAUUAGUUCAGGAAAAACUUACUGUGGGCUGACUACGUGCUGGGCACUGAGCCAGCUGCUGGAAAGCCUGGGUCAGCAAGACACAUGAGGUCUUUAUUCUGAUGGAGAUUGUGUCAGAGCAAGGGAGAUACACGACAAAUCAAUUAUUUAGACAUACACCAAGGCCAGGCUGUGAAGGAAAUAAAUGAGGAAUCCCCGGGCAGCUGUGCUUUGGGUGGCAUGGUCUGGAAAGGCCUCUCGUGAGGCCU